AAGUCAUUACAGUCACUGUAGCUGAAAGUCAUUACAGUCACUGUAGCUGAAAGUCAUUACAGUCACUGUAGCUGAAAGUCAUUACAGUCACUGUAGCUGAAAGUCAUUACAGUCACUGUAGCUGAAAGUCAUUACAGUCACUGUAGCUGAAAGUCAUUACAGUCACUGUAGCUGAAAGUCAUUACAGUCACUGUAGCUGAAAGUCAUUACAGUCACUGUAGCUGAAAGUCAUUACAGUCACUGUAGCUGAAAGUCAUUACAGUCACUGUAGCUGAAAGUCAUUACAGUCACUGUAGCUGAAAGUCAUUACAGUCACUGUAGCUGAAAGUCAUUACAGUCACUGUAGCUGAAAGUCAUUACAGUCACUGUAGCUGAAAGUCAUUACAGUCACUGUAGCUGAAAGUCAUUACAGCCAUUGCAGCUGAAAGUCAUUACAGUCACUGUAGCUGGUACUAUACAUCCUUGGUAGAACAGCAGUGUGUUAGCUCACUGUGAGUGUUACAUAUAGAUGGCCUUCUCUCUCUACAGCCUGUGUGCUGCUGGAAUAUGUGCUCUAUGAAGCGUGGCUUGGUGAGAGGGCAUAACCUUCAGUACCACUCUAGAACAGAAAUAACCCAGGCAAUUAUAUGUUUCAGUGUGUUUGGGUUUCUCAAACACCACACGGUUGUUUAAAUGUCUGGGUUUGUGUCCCAAAUGGCACCCUAUUGGUUACUUUUGAACGCAGUUCUAUGGGCCCUUUGUGAAAAGGAGUGCACUACAUAGGGAAUAGGUUGCCAUUUGGGACACAGACCCAGACAUUUAAACAAUCGGGCGGUGUCCGAGAAACCCAAACAGACUGAAACAUAUUAGUGUUGAGAAAUCAAUGGAGCCCCACUGUGGAAAUGUCACAUAUGCCAACGGACAGCUCAUCAAAAUAAAUCAAAAUCAGCCAAUGAAUGAUUCUGAAAGGUCAGGGGUCUUUAUGGCUCAGGGCCCAGGGUGUUACCAUAACAACCAACAGUCUUGUUAAGUAUUGUAUGGACUGAAAUUGUAUUUUGUAACUGGAUUUUACAGCGCUGAAAAAUGAUACUAUGUUAGUAUUUUCAUAGGAUUUGUUUUGAAUCAUGCUUCUGUUUUUGAUUUUUCCAAAAUAUAGAAACAUUGUAUGGUUUUAUUUUAUGGGCAGAGGAUGUGUACCAGGUCUGCCUUAAUAACUGGAAGGGGACCUGCCUCCUAUGAAAACAGGGUUAGCGGUAUGUGUGUGUAUAAGGGACUGAAGAGGUUAAAGUUCAACAACAGUAAAGAACAAGUUGUAAACACAA